rnacentral:rRNA from 1 species
UACGGGGGGGGCAAGCGUUGUUCGGAUUUACUGGGCGUAAAGGGCGCGUAGGCGGCCACCGCAAGUCGAUUGUGAAAUCUCCGGGCUUAACCCGGAAAGGUCAACCGAUACUGCGGGGCUAGAGUGCGGAAGGGGCAACUGGAAUUCUUGGUGUAGCGGUGAAAUGCGUAGAUAUCAAGAGGAACACCUGCGGCGAAGGCGGGUUGCUGGGCCGACACUGACGCUGAAGCGCGAAAGCUAGGGGAGCGAACGGG